GUAGGUGAACCUGCGGAAGGAUCAUUACCGAGUGGGGGUCCUUCGGGGCCCGAUCUCCAACCCUUUGUCUAAUCCACCGCGUCGCUUCGGCGGGCGCGGGCCCGCCGACCGCGACCGCAGUCUUGAAACACAACCACACAAAACUUUCAACAACGGAUCUCUUGGCUCUGGCAUCGAUGAAGAACGCAGCAUCUGACUGACUCGGGCAUA
rnacentral:misc_RNA from 1 species